UACGUAGGGGGCAAGCGUUGUCCGGAUUUAUUGGGCGUAAAGAGCGUGUAGGCGGCUAGGUAGGUCCGUUGUGAAAACUCGAGGCUCAACCUCGAGCUGUCGAUGGAAACCAUCUGGCUAGAGUCCGGAAGAGGAGAGUGGAAUUCCUGGUGUAGCGGUGAAAUGCGCAGAUAUCAGGAAGAACACCCGUGGCGAAGGCGGCUCUCUGGUACGUGACUGACGCUGAGGUGCGAAAGCGUGGGGAGCAAACAGG
rnacentral:rRNA from 1 species